GUGUGACUGCUGAAAUCAUGAGAUCCCAGUGGACCAGACCAGAACAUCGGCGUCUCUGCCCCAGCAGCAGCUCCACAUCGCAGGCUGCCGCAAACACCGGUUACCGAUGAGCCUUGCAAAGUUCAAAUAAUUCAGACUGCUCAACUAAUCAGAAGUUUCCAGCUGCUGCAGGAUGACGACGAUGAUGAUGAUGAUGAUGAUGUGCAGAUGAAGGUACAGUGCUGCUCUAACUCCACCAGAGGGCGCCAUGACAUCACACGUCCUUCAGCUGGAGAACGUGUGAGCAGACUGAAGGAACAAGAACCAGAUGAAAGAAUCAGAAGUUCAAUCACAUCAAAUCAUUUAAAUUGAUGAAUAUCUAUCUGUCAGAACUACAGACUGGACCACGAGAACAGUGUGUCCGUCCUGUCGUCUGGGGGCCUCCUGAGCUUUCAUCCAGCGAAAGGUGCUGUUGCUAAGUGACGGUGGUUGAGCUGUGGAAGCGUCUCCUCCCCGCCGGGCCGCCCGGCUGCAAGCCGACAUUAAACCAAGCGCA